rnacentral:rRNA from 1 species
GUGCACCAGGCGAGAAACCUUCGCAAUGCGGGAAACCGCGACGAGGGGACUCCCAGUGCCUACGCUCAGCGUAGGCUGUUCCCGAGCCUAGAAAGCUCGGGGAGUAAGGGCUGGGUAAGACGGGUGCCAGCCGCCGCGGUAAUACCCGCAGCCCGAGUGGUGGCCACUAUUAUUGGGCCUAAAGCGUCCGUAGCCGGCCCGGUAAAUGCCUGGGUAAAUCGUGAGGCCUAACCUCACGAAUUCCGGGUAGACUGCCGGGCUAGGGGACCGGAGGAGGGAGAGGGGUACUCCAGGGGUAGGGGUGAAAUCCUGUAAUCCCUGGAGGACCACCGGUGGCGAAGGCGCUCUCCUAGGACGGGUCCGACGGUGAGGGACGAAAGCCAGGGGAGCGAACCGGAUUAGAUACCCCUGUAGU